rnacentral:rRNA from 1 species
GAUGAACGCUGGCGGCGUGCCUAAUACAUGCAAGUCGAGCGAACAGACGAGGAGCUUGCUCCUCUGACGUUAGCGGCGGACGGGUGAGUAACACGUGGAUAACCUACCUAUAAGACUGGGAUAACUUCGGGAAACCGGAGCUAAUACCGGAUAAUAUAUUGAACCGCAUGGUUCAAUAGUGAAAGACGGUUUUGCUGUCACUUAUAGAUGGAUCCGCGCCGCAUUAGCUAGUUGGUAAGGUAACGGCUUACCAAGGCAACGAUGCGUAGCCGACCUGAGAGGGGUAUCGGGCACACUGGAACUGAGACACGGUCCAGACUCCUACGGGAGGCAGCAAUAGGGAAUCUUCCGGAAAUGGCGAAAGCUUGACGGGGCAACGCCGCGGGAGUGAUGAAGGGCUUCGGAUCGUAAAACUCUGUUAAUUGGGAAAAACAAAAGGGUAAGUAACUAUGCACGUCUUGACGGUACCUAAACAAAAAGCCACGGCUAAAUUCGUG